UACAGAGGGUGCGAGCGUUAAUCGGAAUUACUGGGCGUAAAGCGCGCGUAGGCGGCUUUGCAAGUCGAGUGUGAAAUCCCCAGGCUUAACCUGGGAACUGCAUUCGAGACUGCAUAGCUAGAGUAUGGGAGAGGGAAGUGGAAUUUCAGGUGUAGCGGUGAAAUGCGUAGAUAUCUGAAGGAACAUCAGUGGCGAAAGCGACUUCCUGGACCAAUACUGACGCUCAUGUGCGAAAGCGUGGGGAGCAAACAGG
rnacentral:rRNA from 1 species